rnacentral:rRNA from 1 species
GACGAACGCUGGCGGCGUGCUUAACACAUGCAAGUCGAACGAAGAGCGAUGGAAGCUUGCUUCUAUCAAUCUUAGUGGCGAACGGGUGAGUAACGCGUAAUCAACCUGCCCUUCAGAGGGGGACAACAGUUGGAAACGACUGCUAAUACCGCAUACGAUCUAAUCUCGGCAUCGAGGAUAGAUGAAAGGUGGCCUCUACAUGUAAGCUAUCACUGAAGGAGGGGAUUGCGUCUGAUUAGCUAGUUGGAGGGGUAACGGCCCACCAAGGCGAUGAUCAGUAGCCGGUCUGAGAGGAUGAACGGCCACAUUGGGACUGAGACACGGCCCAGACUCCUACGGGAGGCAGCAGUGGGGAAUCUUCCGCAAUGGACGAAAGUCUGACGGAGCAACGCCGCGUGAGUGAUGACGGCCUUCGGGUUGUAAAGCUCUAUUAAUCGGGACGAAAGGCCUUCUUGCGAAUAGUGAGAAGGAUUGACGGUACCGGAAUAGAAAGCCACGGCUAACUACGUG